GAUGAACGCUGGCGGCGUGCUUAACACAUGCAAGUCGAACGGAAAGGCUCCUGCUUGCAGGGGUACUCGAGUGGCGAACGGGUGAGUAACACGUGGGUGAUCUGCCCUGCACUUCGGGAUAAGCCUGGGAAACUGGGUCUAAUACCGGAUAGGACCACAUUUUGGAUGGUGUGGUGGAAAGUUUUUCGGUGUGGGAUGAGCUCGCGGCCUAUCAGCUUGUUGGUGGGGUAAUGGCCUACCAAGGCGUCGACGGGUAGCCGGCCUGAGAGGGUGUACGGCCACAUUGGGCCUGGGAUACGGCCAGACUCCUACGGGAGGCAGCAGUGGGGAAUAUUGCACAAUGGGCGCAAGCCUGAUGCAGCGACGCCGCGUGGGGGAUGACGGCCUUCGGGUUGUAAACUCCUUUCGCUAGGGACGAAGCGCAAGUGACGGUACCUGGAGAAGAAGCACCGGCUAACUACGUG
rnacentral:rRNA from 1 species